rnacentral:rRNA from 1 species
CAGCACCUCAAGUGGUCAGGAUGAUUAUUGGGCCUAAAGCAUCCGUAGCCGGCUCUGUAAGUUUUCGGUUAAAUCUGUACGCUCAACGUACAGGCUGCCGGGAAUACUGCAGCGCUAGGGAGUGGGAGAGGUAGACGGUACUCGGUAGGAAGGGGUAAAAUCCUUUGAUCUAUUGGUGACCACCUGUGGCGAAGGCGGUCUACCAGAACACGUCCGACGGUGAGGGAUGAAAGCUGGGGGAGCAAAACGGAUUAGAUACCCGAGUAGUCC